GACGAACGCUGGCGGCGUGCUUAACACAUGCAAGUCGAGCGGAAAGGCUCCUUCGGGGGUACUCGAGCGGCGAACGGGUGGGUAACACGUGAGUAAUCUGCCCUUGGCUUCGGGAUAGCCACCGGAAGCGGUGAUUAAUACCGGAUACGACAACUUCUCGCAUGGGAUGGUUGUGGAAAGUUUUUUCGGCCAGGGAUGUGCUCGCGGCCUAUCAGCUUGAUGGUGAGGUAAUGGCUCACCAUGGCUUCGACGGGUAGCCGGCCUGAGAGGGUGACCGGUCACACUGGGACUGAGACACGGCCCAGACUCCUACGGGAGGCAGCAGUGGGGAAUAUUGGACAAUGGGCGGAAGCCUGAUCCAGCAACGCCGCGUGAGGGAUGACGGCCUUCGGGUUGUAAACCUCUUUCGGUAGGGACGAAGCGCAAGUGACGGUACCUACUAAAGAAGCACCGGCCAACUACGUGCCAGCAGCCGCGGUAA
rnacentral:rRNA from 1 species